UUUCCGUAGGUGAACCUGCGGAAGGAUCAUUACUGAGUGAGGGCCCUCUGGGUCCAACCUCCUACCCGUGUUUAUUGUACCUUGUUGCUUCGGUGAGCCCGCCUCACGGCCGCCGGGGGGCAUCUGCCCCCGGGCCCGCGCUCGCCGAAGACACCCUCGAACUCUGUCUGAAGUUUGCAGUCUGAGCGAAAACUAAAUAAGUUAAAACUUUCAACAACGGAUCUCUUGGUUCCG
rnacentral:misc_RNA from 1 species